UACGUAGGGGGCAAGCGUUGUCCGGAAUCAUUGGGCGUAAAGCGCGUGUAGGCGGUUCGGUAAGUCGGCUGUGAAAGUCCAGGGCUCAACCCUGGGAUGCCGGUCGAUACUGCCGGACUAGAGUUCGGAAGAGGCGAGUGGAAUUCCCGGUGUAGCGGUGAAAUGCGUAGAUAUUGGGAGGAACACCAGUGGCGAAGGCGGCUCACUGGACCGGAACUGACGCUGAGGCGCGAAAGCGUGGGGAGCAAACAGG
rnacentral:rRNA from 1 species